rnacentral:misc_RNA from 1 species
AUCUGUUUGCACAAGCCUCUGAGAGGGAUGAAGAUAUUGUUUUCUUUGAUCAGAUUAUGCCGGUAAAGGUUUUCUGGUUUACCCUAUAGGGCUUGUAGCUCAGUUGGUUAGAGCGCGCGCUUGAUAAGCGUGAGGUCGGAGGUUCAAGUCCUCCCAGGCCCACCAGUUACACGAUGCUAAAAGUUGCUAUAUUGGGAGAGUUGAUAAUCCCUUACAGGAAAUUAUUGCCCUUAAUAAAACUUUAUUUUCUAAAAGCAUUCAGAGCUGACAUAGAAUAGAGCUGACAUAGGAAUUAUUGAAAUUGUUUUGGAAUUAUUGAAAUUGUUUUCUAUCAUUUUAAAAGGCUAAAAUAUUCUGUCUCUAUUUUUAAAAUAGCAUCAGGUGUUUUGUAAGAGUGUGAAGUUUUUAAGUGUGAGGUUUUUUAUAUUUUAGUGUGAGGUUUUUAUAAGGGUAUGACGUGAGAGCGUUUUGACCUGUUUUAGGGGCCGUAGCUCAGCUGGGAGAGCACC